rnacentral:rRNA from 1 species
AAUAUUGGACAAUGGGGGGAACCCUGAUCCAGCCAUGCCGCGUGUGUGAAGAAGGUCNNNGGAUUNUCAAGCACUUUAAGUUGNGAGNAAGAGUUGUAGGCUAAUACCUUGCAAUUUUGACGUUACCAACAGAAUAAGCACCGGCUAACUUCGUGCCAGCAGCCGCGGUAAUACGAAGGGUGCAAGCGUUAAUCGGAAUUACUGGGCGUAAAGCGCGCGUAGGUGGUUCGUUAAGUUGGAAGUGAAAGCCCCGGGCUUAACCUGGGAAUUGCUUUCAAAACUGACGAGCUAGAGUACGGUAGAGGGUAGUGGAAUUUCCUGUGUAGCGGUGAAAUGCGUAGAUAUAGGAAGGAACACCAGUGGCGAAGGCGGCUUACUGGACUGUAACUGACACUGAGGCUCGAAAGCGUGGGGAGCAAACAGG